CUGGGGCCUGGGGCUUGUUCCUGGCUGCUCAUGCAAGGAGAUGACGUGAACACAGUCUCUGCUACCAAAGCUUGUGCAGUCUGGUUCCCCACGUGUUGGUAAAUCAGAGGGGUUGUUGUGCUCGAGGUGCAAGAAGUGGAUGGAAAAAAAGGCAACGAGCUCUAACAACGCUGUAAUGUGUUUCCCUUGCCAGCCAGGUAAGCGUUGGUACCACUCACUGCCAUUAAACUUCAGUGUAUUCGCAGACAACAAACAGCUCGCUUCUCC
ensembl:lncRNA